rnacentral:rRNA from 1 species
AACGCUAGCUACAGGCUUAACACAUGCAAGUCGAGGGGAAACGAUAGAGAAAGCUUGCUUUUUCUAGGCGUCGACCGGCGCACGGGUGAGUAACGCGUAUCCAACCUGCCCACCACUUGGGGAUAACCUUGCGAAAGUAAGACUAAUACCCAAUGAUAUCUCUAGAAGACAUCUGAAAGGGAUUAAAGAUUUAUCGGUGAUGGAUGGGGAUGCGUCUGAUUAGCUUGUUGGCGGGGUAACGGCCCACCAAGGCGACGAUCAGUAGGGGUUCUGAGAGGAAGGUCCCCCACAUUGGAACUGAGACACGGUCCAAACUCCUACGGGAGGCAGCAGUGAGGAAUAUUGGUCAAUGGGCGAUGGCCUGAACCAGCCAAGUAGCGUGAAGGAUGACUGCCCUAUGGGUUGUAAACUGCUUUUAUAAGGGAAUAAAGUGAGUCUCGUGAGACUUUUUGCAUGUACCUUAUGAAUAAGGACCGGCUAAUUCCGUGCCAGCAGCCGCGGUAAUACGGAAGGUCCGGGCGUUAUCCGGAUUUAUUGGGUUUAAAGGGAGCGUAGGCCGGAGAUUAAGCGUGUUGUGAAAUGUAGACGCUCAACGUCUGCACUGCAGCGCGAACUGGUUUCCUUGAGUACGCACAAAGUGGGCGGAAUUCGUGGUGUAGCGGUGAAAUGCAUAGAUAUCACGAAGAACUCCGAUUG